GAGGAUAUAGCUCAGUGGUAGAGCAUAUGCUUAGCAUGCUGAGGUCCUGGGUUCAAUCCCUAGUACCUCCA
rnacentral:tRNA from 1 species